rnacentral:rRNA from 1 species
CCUACGGGGGACAGCAGUGAGGAAUAUUGGUCAAUGGGCGCGAGCCUGAACCAGCCAAGUAGCGUGAAGGAUGACUGCCCUACGGGUUGUAAACUUCUUUUAUAAAGGAAUAAAGUGAGGCACGUGUGCCUUUUUGUAUGUACUUUAUGACUAAGGAUCGGCUACCUCCGUGUAAGCAGCCGCGGUAAUCCGGGGGACCCAGGCGUUAUCCGGAUUUAUUGGGUUUAAGGGGAGCGUAGAUGGGUUGUUAAGUCAGUUGUGAAAGUUUGCGGCUCAACCGUAAAAUUGCAAUUGAUACUGGCAGCCUUGAGUACAGUUGAGGUAGGCGGAAUUCGUGGUGUAGCGGUGAAAUGCUUAGAUAUUACGAAGAACUCCGAUUGCGAAGGCAGCCUACUAAACUGCCACUGACAUUGAUGCUCGAGAGUGUGGGUAUCAAACAGGAUUAGAUACCCUAGUAGUC